rnacentral:rRNA from 1 species
AUACGGAGGAUCCGAGCGUUAUCCGGAUUUAUUGGGUUUAAAGGGUGCGCAGGCGGCCAUUUAAGUCAGCGGUUAAAUCGUGGGGCUCAACCCCAUUCUGCCGUUGAUACUGGGUGGCUUGAUUGCGGUCGAGGUUGGCGGAAUUCGUUGUGUAGCGGUGAAAUGCUUAGAUAUCACGAGGAACUCCGAUUGCGCAGGCAGCUUACUAAACCACUACUGACGCUCAGGCACGAAGGCGUGGGGAUCAAACAGGAUUAGAUACCCUGGUAGUCCACGCAGUAAACGAUGAUUACUGGCUGUUUGCGAUACAAUGUAAGCGGCUGAGCGAAAGCGUUAAGUAAUCCACCUGGGGAGUACGUUCGCAAGAAUGAAACUCAAAUGAAUUGGCGGGG